rnacentral:rRNA from 1 species
UAGGGAAUCUUCCACAAUGGGCGCAAGCCUGAUGGAGCAACACCGCGUGAGUGAAGAAGGGUUUCGGCUCGUAAAGCUCUGUUGUUAAAGAAGAACACGUAUGAGAGUAACUGUUCAUACGUUGACGGUAUUUACCAGAAAGUCACGGCUAACUACGUGCCAG